rnacentral:sRNA from 1 species
UAUUUCUCCGUACGGGGAAGGAUGAGAAGCUUCGACUAAGGUUCGAUUCGAGCGCAGCGAGAAAGCGUUGCCGCAGGCAACGACCCGAAGGGUGAGGAGCGGAGCGACGAAUAAUCCUUCCCUCACCACCA